UAUUUUCCCCUGUUGGCAGCUGUCUGAAGUAUUGAUUUACUUUUCUGGAGAUGGUUUUUGGUUUGUCCUGCCACUCAGGGCUCACAGAUAAAGUGAUCUUCCAAUUACAGCUUGCAUCAACUUCAGGGACCAUUUGAAAGUCCCUGGGGGACAGCAAUCCUAAAUUCAGCAUUGAUUGAACCAAUGAUUGCUGACUUACAGUCAAUAAUGGAAUGGAUAAACUGGAUUAAUCAGAAAAAAAAACAUCCUAAGAAUCUGAAGAGCAACAACACAGGAAGUAAUAAGUGAAGUGUUUGCAGAAGCAGAAGCUAGCAAGCAAACUGAAAAAGGUAGACUUGAAGUUGCGAGCCUUCUGGCUCAGUUGGCCAAGCAUGAGGCUUCUAGAUGCUGUUAGAAUAUGAGCCUUUGCAGCAAAGAAUGAAGUCGGAUGGGAUAUUCAAUACGGAAAG